UUCUGUGCUUAAGGCCAUGUUGCUACAUUUGCCCUUCCUGUGUGAACUGUGAGUGUGUGAAUGUGAUCUAUAGAGUGUUCAUUAUGAUCAGACGUGGUGCAGCAGUCAGUCAGUGUGUGUUCAGCUCUAAUACAGUCUUUGGAUUAAUGUGUGGGUUCUGGUCCUCAGUAAGAAUGCAGGUGUGUUUUCUUCUCCUCCUCAUACAGCUUCAUAUCACUGAAGUUUGCAGACUGAAUAAUACGACAGUGUAUCUGAUUGGAUAUGUGGGCGAUUCUGUUCUUCUGCCCUGCUCCUGCACUGAACUACAAACCAAACCACACACUUUCACAUGGACCUUUUAUAAAGAAUCUAAUUACAAAGAAAUCUUCCCAAAGGACCAGACAAAUCGCUACAAACACAGAAUUCAGCUCUUUAAUGAUCAUCCUCCAGGAAAUCUCUCUCUACUCAUAUCACACCUGACUGUAGAGGAUGAAGGAUUUUACAGGUGUUGGAUCAUCAAGAACAAUAACUAUAAGUACAUCCAUCUCACAGUAAAUGAGGCUACAAAAAAGACCUUCACGAUCCACAACAACAAUCCAAACAACUUCUAAACCAGAUGCUGAGUCUCUUCCCUUCGUCCCCUUCGCUUCGGUGACUGUGAUCUUUCUACACAUUAUCGUGGCUGUGGUUUACUGCACCACCAGAAAGAAAGGUCCUAAUACAGUUCAUUACAGCAGAGGUGAUGGAGAUGGAACAGUGAGUCUACAGUAAAGAAGAACAUCAACAGAAGAACACACAUGUAACAGCAGUAACAUACACCUGAUUAACAGACCAGAGAGCAGCUUGUUACAGUACUUUCCACUUUAUUCAUGCUAUUUCAUUCUAUUUAACAUUACAAUCUAUUGUAUAUGCUUCCAUUUUCUCUUUUCUUUGUGUAGUUAAAAAAAAAUCACAUUACUAAGGACCAUAACAUUGUACAUUUUUCUCAAAUCUUCGAAGACUUCUCUGUUAAAUCAUUCCAAAAAGCUUCUCAUUGUAUC